rnacentral:rRNA from 1 species
CCUACGGGAGGCAGCAGUGGGGAAUAUUGCACAAUGGGCGGAAGCCUGAUGCAGCAACGCCGCGUGCGGGAUGACGGCCUUCGGGUUGUAAACCGCUUUCGCCUGUGACGAAGCGUGAGUGACGGUAAUGGGUAAAGAAGCACCGGCUAACUACGUGCCAGCAGCCGCGGUGAUACGUAGGGUGCGAGCGUUGUCCGGAUUUAUUGGGCGUAAAGGGCUCGUAGGUGGUUGAUCGCGUCGGAAGUGUAAUCUUGGGGCUUAACCCUGAGCGUGCUUUCGAUACGGGUUGACUUGAGGAAGGUAGGGGAGAAUGGAAUUCCUGGUGGAGCGGUGGAAUGCACAGAUAUCAGGAGGAACACCAGUGGCGAAGGCGGUUCUCUGGGCCUUUCCUGACGCUGAGGAGCGAAAGCGUGGGGAGCGAACAGGCUUAGAUACCCUGGUAGUCCACGCUGUAAACGGUGGGUACUAGGUGUGGGGUCCAUUCCACGGGUUCCGUGCCGUAGCUAACGCUUUAAGUACCCCGCCUGGGGAGGUACGGCGCGAGCAACUACAAGAAGUAGACGCGNGAGAGNGCGACGCGACGACGAGGGAGAG